AUUGAACGCUGGCGGAAUGCUUUACACAUGCAAGUCGAACGGCAGCACGGGGCAACCUGGUGGCGAGUGGCGAACGGGUGAGUAAUACAUCGGAACGUGCCCAAUCGUGGGGAUAACGUAGCGAAGUUACGCUAAUACCGCAUACGAUCUACGGAUGAAAGCGGGGGAUCGCAAGACCUCGCGCGAAUGGAGCGGCCGAUGUCAGAUUAGGUAGUUGGUGGGGUAAAGGCUCACCAAGCCAACGAUCUGUAGCUGGUCUGAGAGGACGACCAGCCACACUGGAACUGAGACACGGUCCAGACUCCUACGGGAGGCAGCAGUGGGGAAUUUUGGACAAUGGGCGCAAGCCUGAUCCAGCCAUUCCGCGUGCAGGAUGAAGGCCUUC
rnacentral:rRNA from 1 species